AUUGAACGCUGGCGGCAGGCCUAACACAUGCAAGUCGAGCGGAUGAAGGGAGCUUGCUCCUGGAUUCAGCGGCGGACGGGUGAGUAAUGCCUAGGAAUCUGCCUGGUAGUGGGGGAUAACGUCCGGAAACGGGCGCUAAUACCGCAUACGUCCUGAGGGAGAAAGUGGGGGAUCUUCGGACCUCACGCUAUCAGAUGAGCCUAGGUCGGAUUAGCUAGUUGGUGGGGUAAAGGCCUACCAAGGCGACGAUCCGUAACUGGUCUGAGAGGAUGAUCAGUCACACUGUAACUGAGACACGUUCCAGACUCCUACGGGAGGCAGCAGUGGGGAAUAUUGGACAAUGGGCGAAAGCCUGAUCCAGCCAUGCCGCGUGUGUGAAGAAGGUCUUCGGAUUGUAAAGCACUUUAAGUUGGGAGGAAGUGCAGUAAGUUAAUACCUUGCUGUUUUGACGUUACCAACAGAAUAAGCACCGGCUAACUUCGUG
rnacentral:rRNA from 1 species